rnacentral:rRNA from 1 species
UUGCACGCUGGCGGCAGGCCUAACCCAUGCAAGUCGAGCGGAUGAAGGGAGCUUGCUCCUGGCUUCAGCGGCGGACGGGUGAGUAAUGCCUAAGAAUCUGCCUGGUAGUGGGGGAUAACGUCCGGAAACGGGCGCUAAUACCGCAUACGUCCUGAGGGAGAAAGUGGGGGAUCUUCGGACCUCACGCUAUCAGAUGAGCCUAGGUCGGAUUAGCUAGUUGGUGGGGUAAAGGCCUACCAAGGCGACGAUCCGUAACUGGUCUGAGAGGAUGAUCAGUCACACUGGAACUGAGACACGGUCCAGACUCCUACGGGAGGCAGCAGUGGGGAAUAUUGGACAAUGGGCGAAAGCCUGAUCCAGCCAUGCCGCGUGUGUGAAGAAGGUCUUCGGAUUGUAAAGCACUUUAAGUUGGGAGGAAGGGCAGUAAGUUAAUACCUUGCUGUUUUGACGUUACCAACAGAAUAAGCACCGGCUAACUUCGUG